CCUACGGGUGGCAGCAGUGAGGAAUAUUGGUCAAUGGCCGGAAGGCUGAACCAGCCAAGUCGCGUGAGGGAAUAAGGCCCUAUGGGUCGUAAACCUCUUUUGUCAGGGAGCAAAGGCGUCCACGAGUGUACGAAAGGAGAGUACCUGAAGAAAAAGCAUCGGCUAACUCCGUGCCAGCAGCCGCGGUAAUACGGGGGAUGCGAGCGUUAUCCGGAUUUAUUGGGUUUAAAGGUUGCGUAGGGGGAGUGUCAAGUCAGCGGUAAAUUUUCGGGGCUCACCCCCGUCGUGCCGUUGAAACUGACACUCUAGAGUGAGUGAGAAGUAAGCGGAAUGCGUGGUGUAGCGGUGAAAUGCAUAGAUAUCACGCAGAACGCCGAUUGCGAAGGCAGCUUACCGGCGUUCAACUGACGCUGAGGCACGAAAGUGCGGGUAUCGAACAGGAUUAGAUACCCGAGUAGUC
rnacentral:rRNA from 1 species